rnacentral:rRNA from 1 species
GUUUACGGCCAUACCACCUUAGGCACGCCCGAUCCCGUCUGUUCUCGGAAGCUAAGCAGGGUCGGGCCUGGUUAGUACUUGGAUGGGUGACCGCCUGGGAAUACCAGGUGCUGUAAGCA